CCCUCGGUCAACAAAUCGCCAUUCGAAGCUGUCAAACAGGGACGUUCAGCCUUGCGCUAAGCGUCUCAUCCUUCGGGAUACUAUGCUUUGGGAGAAAGUCCCCGGACGUCUCCAUUUUGGAGCUUGCGGAAACGCGCCGCCAUAGAAGCACUGCGGCUGACCUUUUGCGCCUUGGCCCUCUUCGCGGACAUCCGCCCUUCUCGUCGCUACAUCUGUUCUUCGAGUUCGAUUGGAAACCUGCUCUGCGUCUCUUGACCCUUUGGAUGAAGAUAUGAGUCCGCGUUGGGAUGAUGUGGUCGGGACCUUCUAAUACCGGGCGAGCGUUCAGAUGACGGGUAGCCGUGUGAUGACGUGAGUUGUGGCUUCGGGUGCUGAGGACUAGUUGUCGAAGUCGAUAGGUAUGCGAUUGCUCGGCUUUCUGGCCGAGUUACUCGAUGGGGCUUAUUCUUGAGGCGAGG
rnacentral:RNase_MRP_RNA from 1 species